rnacentral:lncRNA from 1 species
ACUGUUCGCCGGAAGUAGUGGCGCGAUCCUGUGGGCCGCUGCUUCCCGGUGAGGAGCUGCCGCCGCCGCUCCACGCUCAGGUGUCGGCGGGCGUGCGGGGUGCUCGUGGCCGCAGCCCGGUGUUCGCGCACCGGUUCUGGUCCGUCCGGCGCGCCGUCGGCGUUUGUCGCAUGCGCAGUGCCCGGGAGCAGCGUGGCGGCGCGCAGGGCCCGGGUCCCGGCACCGGCGGCAGCAGGAAGAAGAGGAAGAAUGCCUAGCAGAGACAGGUAAAGAAGAGCAGGGGAAGAAACAAGACCAGAAAAGCAGUGUGGAAGAUGCCAGUGAAGAGCAGGGAGAAAAGAAGCAGCAGCCUCCAGCAGGUCAGGCAGAAACUGCCCCUCCCAGAGCAGAGUCCCAGAAAAAGAAAGAAGGCAAGAAGUUGGAGUCUCGGGUGAGCAUCACACUGAGGGAAUGGGUCUUGGAUUUUGGUGUCUGAGAAGCUGAAUUGCGAGAAACGGUCUCUAGGUUCAGGCAGGCUUCGGUCAGACACAACACUGAAGCAGAUAUUUAUUUCAUGUUUGUGCAAAAACGGGUGUCCUGGCAAGUAGGCACACACAGCAAAGGCAGAACUUUGAUUUGUAUUUCCUAUCCCGUCCGCAAGUUCCCUCCCUUGUUUCCCUGUUGGUUGGGUACUCCCAAGGUUUACAGCCUAUCCAGUGAAUAUAAUCUAUAUGCUAACUGUCUCGCCUCUGUUUACACCUCCCCUUACUCGAUUUCGCAUGCCCCUUCCUCUUAUUUAUUUAUUUGUUGCCUUUCAUGGUUCGAUUUCAUAACUCUCUGGCAGACAUGUGAUACCCCAACUUACUGUUUAACUACAGCAGCAGUUUGCACCGGCUUAUUUUCAUACAUUGUACAAAGAGAGUAUUCUUUUCAACCACAAGAGUGUCUGUCGCCCAAAGAUGACAUUGUCUUUAACCACAGAAUGUGUCUGUUUAAGUCAUGGUAUUUCAAACCCUUUGUUUCGUUUCCGUAGUAACUUAGCCCCAGCCCCAAAAUUGCAAAGUCUUCAUAUUGCAAAGUCUCAUCCCCAAUAUGCAAAACCAACAGUGUUUCUCUCACAGGCAUCACCUACACACACAGAGCUCCUGCCCUCGCUUUGCCACCUAAAACUCCUGCAUACUGCCUGUCUGGCAUCCUGGAGCACAGCUCACAGAGUGCAAACGUCCAGCCCCUGCUCCCACAGCCGAGGAGCCAGGGCAGAAAGCUGUUGCUGGGCAUUACUUACACAGGGUGAGCUCCGCAACGGUGCCACCAACAUGGCAAUCCACCCUCACUUUGCCAUGUAAAACUCCAUCUGCAUACUGCCUCUCUGGUGCCCGCUCUUGGGCAUCCUGGAGUACAGAUGUAGUCCUGGUUGUGUGUCAUAAGUGGCACAUUGGGAACCAUAGGUGUUAGGUUGGGUAUUGUAAGUGGCGCUUUGGGUAGUGUAGGUGGCAGAUUGCACAUACAACCCCUACAGGGUUGCAUAGGUUGCAUUUAGGGUAUGCUCAUGCAGCUGACUCAGGAAUAGC